UGCGUUGCCUCUCUGGAGUUUGGUGG
rnacentral:sRNA from 1 species